CCUACGGGAGGCAGCAGUGGGGGAUAUUGCACAAUGGGGGGAACCCUGAUGCAGCGACGCCGCGUGGGUGAAGGAGUGCUUCGGCAUGUAAAGCCCUAUCGGCAGGGAAGAAGCAAGACGGUACCUGACUAAGAAGCCCCGGCUAACUACGUGCCAGCAGCCGCGGUAAUACGUAGGGGGCGAGCGUUAUCCGGAUUCACUGGGUGUAAAGGGAGCGUAGACGGUAAUGCAAGUCUGGAGUGAAAGGCGGGGGCCCAACCCCCGGACUGCUCUGGAAACUGUGUAACUGGAGUGCAGGAGAGGCAGGCGGAAUGCCUAGUGUAGCGGUGAAAUGCGUAGAUAUUAGGAGGAACACCAGUGGCGAAGGCGGCCUGCUGGACUGUAACUGACGUUGAGGCUCGAAAGCGUGGGGAGCAAACAGGAUUAGAUACCCGAGUAGUC
rnacentral:rRNA from 1 species